UGCUUCCUGAUCUGCUGAUGAGCUGCUCCUCUGGAUGCAGGCUGGACGACUGCGGCUUGUCUAAAGCCAGCUGUGACGCUCUGGUCUCAGCUCUGAGGUCUGCUGGGAACCACCUGACAGAACUGGAUCUGAGAGGGAACAGACUGCAGGACUCAAAUGUUCGGCCGCUCCAGGACCUGAUGAAGAGUCCGGACUGCAACCUGCGCACCUUAAGAUGGAAGUACUGGCACUGAUCGGGUCGUGUGUUCAGGAGGAGCAAAGAGAUGAAGCAGAGGAGGUGAAGAAGACUACGCUGGAGGAAAUGGUUUAUUUCUGGCCAUCAAAGCAAAAAAA